CAGCACCCUGUGCUGGCAGAGAGAGAAAUCUGAGCCUGAGCCGCGCCAGGAGCAGGCUUUGCACAAACUAUCUGGUUUCAAGUUGCGAGUCUCCGGAGUCCCUGGGAAGGUGCCCUAGGGACAGGACUCCCUUUGCAGGGCCCUGAGGACUGAUGAGAAUCCCCCCAUCCCCAGCCACCCAGAGGAUAAGCAGGUGCCAUUGGAAACCAGAAGAAGCCAUCAGAUCUACUGGGGCUGGAGCUACAGGUAGUCGUGGAUUGCCUGAUGUGAAUUCUGGGAUGGAACUCCAGUUCUCUACAAAAGCAGCUCAACUUUAUUCAAGCCGAUGUUCUCGGAUUUCCUCUGAAGAGACACUUGGACCUUUCUGCAAGAAAUUUCUAAGUCCUCAUGGGUUCUGGCAUCCAUUGUACAAGUAGAAGAAGUGGAGCACUGAAUGGGUACCAGGACUUCCAGACAAGUUCUUUGUGUUGAGUGUUCGUGGUCACUCAGCACAGAGCAGUGAUUUCAGCAGAACCGUGCCAGAGUGGGUUCAAGGGAUUCAUCCAAGCCAGGCACAAGAGAGCAGUUGGGUGAAAACUCAAGGAGCCGCUACAAAGUCAACUGGAAAAAUGAGUCUCAACUAAGCUUCAUUAAACUGCAUCAAGUGGUCCCUGCUGCUCUCCUUCACCCCUGGUCCUCACUGAAGGCUGAUCUGCUAGCCAUGUUCUUAGAGCUUUGCACUGCAAACUCUGGUCUGAGAAAUGGAGGUGGAACAAUUUGUGAUGCUGUAUUAGUUACUUUCGUAUUGCUGUGCUGAAACAACACGACCCAAAACAACUUACAGAAGAAAGAACCUAGUGUGGCUUAUAGUUCCAGAAGAUAGUGAGGAGGGGCUCUAUUCAGCAUCCAGUGGAGGUCUUCCAACUGGACUCCUUUGUAUCUGGGACAAAUAGCAGUUGAAGAGUGACAAAGAGGC